CUUAUGGCACUUAUCAUCUUCUGACUUCCAUUAUUGUUAUUUGAGGCAAUAUAAAAUAAUAAUCGUUGACUUUGAUAUUAGAUUGAUUUGGUAUGAAAUUCCAAUUCUCUGACCAAUAUUUACAUAACAGAUUAGUUUUCUUAAAUUCUUAAAGCCUCAUGUUUGUCAUUAUUAAAAUAGAGACAAUCAUACCAAACUCUUAUGUUCUUAUGAGGACUAUGUGAGAUAAUAUAUGUAAAGUGUUUAGCACAAAUCUGAAAAAGAAUAAAUGCUCAGUAAAUUGUAGCAGCAUAAACUUUUAUCAUCUCUUUUAUUAAAUUUCAGCCUCUGUAGAGUGAACUUCUUCAUAUUAAUCUAUUUCUGCCCUAUAAAGUCAGAGAAGUUAAGAAAUAAUACCAACAUGGUUGCUGUAGAGAGUAGAUUCCUGAAUUAUAAGCACAUGUUAUAUAGAUAAAGCACUUGUUAAUUACCCUCUAUCAAGGCUAGUCUCUCUGUCUGAGUGAAUAUCGAUUAUGGAGAAGUUCUCGACCUUUCCUGUUGGUUCAUUGGUUUGUUUGCUUCUUGCGUUUUGCUCUGGUACAUCUGAUAGAUGAGGUUGUGCAACACCUAAGAGUUGCUCUAACUUUGUCUCCCAUAUAAGAUAGUAAACGGAAAGGCAAGAGAGUGUGACUGAAGUUAUUAAAAGGGAGCUUUAUAUCUGUUCCAAUUUAUAAAGGAAAGACACACCAUUAAAAAAAAAAAACCUCUCACGCUUUAGGUAUUACUGUACCCAAAUUAUUUGUAAUAUACUCCACAACUGAUGCAAAUCAUGAACAUGUGCCAUGACUCAGUAGUUGAAAGAAGUUUUAAUAAUUUCUAUUUUUCAGAGAUCAACUUUAUUUGACCUAAGUGAGGAGAAUUUUCAGUUCCUUAAUUUCUUUCUAUUAUCUUUUUAGUGUUUUGAUUAUCCAAUAACAUUUCUUUUCUUUUACAAUUUUUAUUCUUAUAAUCAUAUCUGAGGUUGUUUUCUAUAUAGUUAACACACUGGAUAAUUCCAAAUUUUUACAAUACCUAUUUUCAUUUUUAUAUAUUUUCUACCUGUCAUUAUAAUUGCUUAAAUCAGUCAUCUCUUGUUUAUGUUCAUUUUCCCAAAAGAAAAACCUAUUUAGUUUACACAUUUGUCUCUCUUGGUGUCUUACACAAUACCCUUUUUUUUUUUUUUUACAGUAUUUAAGUCAACAGAUGGAAGAGUGUCAUGGAAGGUAAAUCAGACAAUGAGAUAAUUCACCAGAGACUCACAUCCAGGCAUAUGUAUUGUUCCCUCUAUAUAACUGAGCAGUAGUAUUUCUAUUUAGUUCAGAGCAAUAAUAAAGAAAUUUCAGAAAAAUUCAGAAUUUUAGCAAAAUUUGUUAACUUCUUUAGCGUUGAAGAUGUCUAUUUACUUAGUCACAAUGGAAACUCGGCCUCAUUCUACCUUCAAGGACACACCUGGUAACUAAUUGCAAGAUGCUUGGAAAGAUAGAACAAUACAAGAACUGAGCCAGAAAAUGAUAUUUCUUACUGUUUUAGGUGUAUUCUUCUUUGGGGACAACUAAACAAUGUACAUCUCCUGAGAAGGUGACUUUGAAAUUCAGCUCUGAAAAAAAUGGCUCCAAUUUCUUAGAUGCAGUGAGUGCAUCUGGAGACUGCAGUAGCUGCAGCAUUAAGAACAAGGGUCUUCAUUCUCUGGUGUAAUAAUCCUGGCCCACAGAUAAGCUCUGAUGAUCAUGGAGAGGAAUUUAAUCAUCUACUCAUUGUAGCCAUCUAUAUUGUUUGUGGGGAACAGGCUCUCUGCUGAGAGAAAAAUCUGCCAAGUUCAGAUUAUGGGUAAAACCAUGGGAGAUAGAAUUAGCCUCACGAAUUGUCAGGAGCUUUUAAGAGUUACUCACUCUUAAAGUAUUUUAAUGCUUAGGUAUCUCAAAAUUCAGCCAUUAUAGAAGCAAAGAUAAAUGUCAGUUUUAAUCUCCCAAUCCGUGAUUUCUCAAAAUGAAUCUGGCAAACUGUUCAACAUCUAUCUUCCAGCGUGCCUGUGAGGAAGAAACUGGAGCAAAAAAGAUGGAAACCCCAGCAAGGACGAUGAGUAAUGAAGAUUGCACCUUUGCAAUUUAUCUUCUCUCUCACAAAAUUAAUGCUGGAAUUCGAGAUUACUGUGGGGCUGUUUAUUAGUGAUGACAACUGUAUGGGCUUGGUUUGGAAAAUGUGUUCUCUCCUGAGUUGUUGAGUCAUGUGAGGCCAUUUGCAGUUCUUUUUUUUUUCCCCACUAUUAUUUAUCAAUGCCUCAUUAAAUAGGUCAUCUGUGUCCAGAUUUAAAGUCUCAUUUUCAGAAGGAUUUCAUGAACUUGGAGAGUUUCCAACAAGAAAAACCAAUCUGCAGGCUGUACAGGAAUCAUGGUGGGGCAUCUGCUCAGCUUCUGUGAAGGCCUCAGAAAACUGACAAUCAUCAUCGAAGGUGAAGUGGGGGACAGACAUGUCACCAUCUGAUCGAGGAUAUAAAAUAAGUCUAGAAAACAUGAAGAAGGUUGUUUAGUGGGCCACAGGAGAGGUAUAGAUAGGAGGCUCUGAGUAUUCUGUGCUAGGACAAAUUAUUACCAGCUGGAUAUGGGGUUGAAUUAGAAAUCGUCACAGUACAAUAGCAUUAACUGAACUUUAGCUGAUACACUUGAACACGGAAGGAAAGCAUUUUAGGGAGAGAUGGAUAUAUAGGUAAAGAGGCUAGAAGGUGUGGAUCAUAUGUGGAACAGAGCAGUCUAUAUUUGGGUAGAGUGUAGGGUGGGAAUAAAUGGGAAAAGGCAAGAAAGAAAUCUGUUUAGAUUCUGAAGGGUCUUGAAUUCCAGGCUCAGCAGUU
rnacentral:lncRNA from 1 species